UGCCCCAUGGCUGAGUUGGUUACAGCGUCCGACUGUUAGCGCCUUGUGCCAAGCAAUCGGAAGGUCGUGAGUUCGAGCCUCACUGGGGCAG
rnacentral:tRNA from 2 species